UACGUAGGUGGCAAGCGUUGUCCGGAUUUACUGGGCGUAAAGAGCGCGCAGGCGGUCGUGCAAGUCGCGUGUGAAAGCCCCCGGCUCAACUGGGGAGGGUCACGCGAUACUGCUCGACUCGAAGGCAGGAGAGGGAAGUGGAAUUCCAGGUGUAGCGGUGAAAUGCGUAGAUAUCUGGAGGAACACCGGUGGCGAAGGCGGCAUCCUGGACCGACACUGACGCUGAGGAGCGAAAGCCAGGGGAGCAAACGGG
rnacentral:rRNA from 1 species